UUGGAGGGCAAGUCUGGUGCCAGCAGCCGCGGUAAUUCCAGCUCCAAUAGCGUAUAUUAUAGUUGUUGCAGUUAAAAAGCUCGUAGUUGAAUUUCGGGGUUAGUAGGUUGGUCAUGCCACUGGUAUGUACUGGUCUCACUGAUUCCUCCUUCCUGAUGAGCCGUAAUGCCAUUAAUUUGGUGUUGCGAGGAAUCUGGACUGUUACUUUGAAAAAAUUAGAGUGUUUAAAGCAAGCUAACGCCUGAAUACAUUAGCAUGGAAUAAUGAAAUAGGACGUUCGAUCCUAUUUUGUUGGUUUCUAGGAUUGACGUAAUGAUUAAUAGGGAUAGUUGGGGGCAUUAGUAUUCAAUUGUCGGAGGUGAAAUUCUUGGAUUUAUUGAAGACUAACUACUGCGAAAGCAUUAGCCAAGGAUGUUUUCAUUAAUCAAGAACGAAAGUUAGGGGAUCGAAGACGAUCAGAUACCGUCGUAGUCUUAACCAUAAACUAUGCCGACUAGGGAUCGAAUGAUGUUAUUUUUAAUGACUCAUUCGGCGCCUUACGGGAAAC
rnacentral:rRNA from 1 species